rnacentral:tRNA from 1 species
GGGGGCGUAGCUCAGUUGGGAGAGCGCUUGGCUCGCAUUCAAGAGGUCAUGGGUUCGAAUCCCACCGUCUCCACCA